rnacentral:rRNA from 1 species
UACGUAGGGUGCGAGCGUUAAUCGGAAUUACUGGGCGUAAAGCGUGCGCAGGCGGUUCGCCAAGUCAGGUGUGAAAUCCCCGGGCUUAACCUGGGAAUUGCGCUUGAAACUAGCGGGCUUGAGUGUGGCAGAGGGGGGUGGAAUUCCACGUGUAGCAGUGAAAUGCGUAGAGAUCCGGAGGAACACCGACGGCGCAGGCAGCGUCCUGGCCGCUUGCUGACACUGAGGCACGAAAGCUGGGGGAGCAAACAGG